GACAGAGGGUGCUAGCGUUGUUCGGAAUUACUGGGCGUAAAGGGCGCGUAGGCGGCUUCGCAAGUCGGGUGUGAAAGCCCGGGGCUCAACCCCGGAACGGCACCCGGGACUGCGCGGCUGGAGUCCGGAAGAGGAAGGUGGAAUACCCAGUGUAGAGGUGAAAUUCGUAGAUAUUGGGUGGAACACCAGUGGCGAAGGCGGCCUUCUGGUCCGGAACUGACGCUGAGGCGCGAAAGCGUGGGGAGCAAACAGG
rnacentral:rRNA from 1 species